UCAGGCCUAACACAUGCAAGUCGAACGGUAACGCGGGGCAACCUGGCGACGAGUGGCGAACGGGUGAGUAAUGUAUCGGAACGUGCCCAGUUGUGGGGGAUAACUGCUCGAAAGAGCAGCUAAUACCGCAUACGACCUGAGGGUGAAAGCGGGGGAUCGCAAGACCUCGCGCAAUUGGAGCGGCCGAUAUCAGAUUAGGUAGUUGGUGGGGUAAAGGCUCACCAAGCCAACGAUCUGUAGCUGGUCUGAGAGGACGACCAGCCACACUGGGACUGAGACACGGCCCAGACUCCUACGGGAGGCAGCAGUGGGGAAUUUUGGACAAUGGACGCAAGUCUGAUCCAGCCAUGCCGCGUGCGGGAAGAAGGGCUUCGGGUUGUAAACCGAUUGUGUCAGGGAAGAAACGCUCUGGGUUAAUACCUCGGGGUAA
rnacentral:rRNA from 1 species